rnacentral:rRNA from 1 species
GACAGAGGGUGCAAACGUUGUUCGGAAUUACUGGGCGUAAAGCGUGUGUAGGCGGUCCACUAAGUCGGAUGUGAAAGCCCUCAGCUCAACUGAGGAAGUGCGCCCGAAACUGCUGUGCUUGAGUGCCGGAGAGGGUGGCGGAAUUCCCCAAGUAGAGGUGAAAUUCGUAGAUAUGGGGAGGAACACCGGUGGCGAAGGCGGCCACCUGGACGGUAACUGACGCUGAGGAGCGAAAGCGUGGGGAGCAAACAGG